rnacentral:rRNA from 1 species
UACAGAGGUCUCAAGCGUUGUUCGGAUUCAUUGGGCGUAAAGGGUGCGUAGGCGGCGCGGUAAGUCGGGUGUGAAAUCUCGGGGCUUAACUCCGAAACUGCAUUCGAUACUGCCGUGCUUGAGGACUGGAGAGGAGACUGGAAUUUACGGUGUAGCGGUGAAAUGCGUAGAUAUCGUAAGGAAGACCAGUGGCGAAGGCGGGUCUCGGGACAGUUCCUGACGCUGAGGCACGAAGGUCAGGGGAGCAAACGGG